ACUUUGUGCAUUGGGUCCACAAGGAGGGACGACCUUUGUGGGCUCAGGGUGUAAAGGUU
rnacentral:miRNA from 1 species